rnacentral:rRNA from 1 species
CGGAGGAUCCAAGCGUUUAUCCGGAAUCUAGUUGGGUUUAAAGGGUCCGUAGGCGGUUUGAUAAGUCAGUGGUGAAAGCCCAUCGCUCAACGAUGGAACGGCCAUUGAUACUGUCAGACUUGAAUUACUGGGAAGUAACUAGAAUAUGUAGUGUAGCGGUGAAAUGCUUAGAUAUUACAUGGAAUACCAAUUGCGAAGGCAGGUUACUACCAGUGGAUUGACGCUGAUGGACGAAAGCGUGGGGAGCGAACAGGAUUAGAUACCCUGGUAGUCCACGCCGUAAACGAUGGAUACUAGCUGUUCGGAGCAAUCUGAGUGGCUAAGCGAAAGUGAUAAGUAUCCCACCUGGGGAGUACGUUCGCAAGAAUG